ACCAGGAAGAGGAAGAAAGAGAUAGUCUAAGAGCAAUGGGAAUGGGAGCAUGGAGGAAAGCAUGUGCACUUCCACAACUGGAGGUGAAUGUUGUAUCUUGCUUUCCCAAUGCCUCCCAUUCCUAUCGUUCUUAGGUUCUCCUUCCUCUUCCAUUUAGCU
rnacentral:pre_miRNA from 2 species